rnacentral:rRNA from 1 species
UCGGGAAUUUUGGGCAAUGGGCGAAAGCCUGACCCAGCAACGCCGCGUGAGGGAUGAAGUAUUUCGGUAUGUAAACCUCGAAAGAAUGGGAAGAAUAAAUGACGGUACCAUUUAUAAGCUCCGGCUAACUACGUGCCAGCAGCCGCGGUAAUACGUAGGGAGCAAGCGUUGUUCGGAUUUACUGGGCGUAAAGGGCGCGUAGGCGGCGCGGUAAGUCACUUGUGAAAUCCCUGAGCUUAACUCAGAACGGCCAAGUGAUACUGCUGUGCUAGAGUGCGGAAGAGGCAACCGGAAUUCUUGGUGUAGCGGUGAAAUGCGUAGAUAUCAAGAGGAACACCUGAGGCGAAGGCGGGUUGCUGGGCCGACACUGACGCUGAUGCGCGAAAGCCAGGGGAGCAAACG